AGGCUUACCUGGCAGGGGAGACACCAUGAUCACGUAGGUGGUUUUCCCAGGGUGAGGCCCGUCCAUUGCACUUGGGAUGUGCUGACCCCUGCGAUUUCCCCAAAUGUGGGAAACUCGACUGCAUAAUUUGUGGUACCGGAUUGUUAAAAUAAAUGCA